UAAUUCCUCAAAUGACAAAAUGAAUUUAUCUACAUUUCUAAUAAUGAAAUCAGCUUCAUCACUGGAACGGGAUCCUGGUAGCAGACUUCUCAGUCAUCUUGCAGCAAUGUGGAACAGUGAAGUGUAAUCAUUGUGGAGUUUAUUUCAGCUUCUUGGUUGGCCGUUACAUUGGCCUCUAAUCAUGAGUGGUGGAGGAACUGCUGCAAUUACAUAACCUUUACCCUAACUGCCUGAGGAAUGACAGCUGGAGGGGAGGGGAAGGUGAUGGAGUGGGGCUGGUAACCUAGGAAGGGGCAAGGGUCACUACAAUGUUAAUUGGUGUCUGCAGAUCAGACCCAUUUUUCUAUAGUGAAUAAUUUAAAAACAAUGUCAUUCAUUAAAUGAACCAAUGCCCUUGACUUCUUAAAAGAGGUGAAGGGAAUUAAUCACAGUAAGUUCUCUGAACAUAAAAAUUAACUAAGUUUAUAGUGCUGGAACUGAUGUGUGUGCGAUAACAGUACAUUAUAUUUGAAAGAUAUGUCUUGUGUUUGCCUUGUGUUUCUUGUUUGAUGGCAUGCCUGGGUCUUCUUUCUUAUUUUUACCUUGUCUGCAGAUUUUUCCACCACAAAGAGAGCUCCCGGAUGAUUAUGCACUCUUCUGCCCAGUGAACAAAAGGAAGCAUAAUCUGGACUAACUACA
rnacentral:lncRNA from 1 species